rnacentral:rRNA from 1 species
UACGUAGGGGGCUAGCGUUGUCCGGAAUCAUUGGGCGUAAAGAGCGUGUAGGCGGCCCGGUAAGUCCGCUGUGAAAGUCGGGGGCUCAACCCUCGGAUGCCGGUGGAUACUGUCGGGCUCGAGUACGGAAGAGGCGAGUGGAAUUCCUGGUGUAGCGGUGAAAUGCGCAGAUAUCAGGAAGAACACCCGUGGCGAAGGCGGCUCUCUGGAACGCAACUGACGCUGAGACGCGAAAAGCGUGGGGAGCAAACAGG